rnacentral:rRNA from 1 species
CCUACGGGAGGCAGCAGUGAGGAAUAUUGGUCAAUGGGCGCGAGCCUGAACCAGCCAAGUCGCGUGAGGGGAGACGGUCCUAUGGAUUGUAAACCUCUUUUGUCGGGGAGCAAAAGACGCCACGCGUGGAGUUCCGAGAGUACCCGAAGAAAAAGAAUCGGCUAACUCCGUGCCAGCCGCCGCGGUAAUUCGGAGGAUGCGAGAGGUAUCCGGAUUGAGUGGGUGUAAAGGGUGCGCAGGCGGAAGAUCAAGUCAGCGGUAAAAUUGAGAGGCUCAACCGCUACGAGCCGUUGAAACUGGGUGUCUUGAGUGAGCGAGAGGUGUGCAGAAUGCGUGGUGUAGCGGUGAAAUGCAUAGAUAUCACGCAGAACUCCGAUUGCGAAGGCAGCAUACCGGAGCUCAACUGACGCUCAUGCACGAAAGUGUGGGUAUCGAACAGGAUUAGAUACCCGAGUAGUC